GGAUCGAUGAUGAUUCCCAGUCAAACAUUCCUUGGAAAAGCUGAAAUAAAUGAGUGAGCCUCAAUACAUCGCGCGCUCUCAUCGGGACUGGGGUCA